ACAUUUUUAGUAUAAUAGUACAUUUGACUUCCAAUCAAAAGGUCCUUUCCAAGGAAAAUGUA
rnacentral:tRNA from 1 species